CUAACAAGGAUUCCCCUAGUAACGGCGAGUGAAGCGGGAAGAGCUCAAGCUUAAAAUCUCCGUGCAAGUUUUGUGCGGCGAAUUGUAGUCUAUAGAAGCGUGGUCAGCAUGGGCACUUGGGGCAAGUUCCUUGGAAGAGGACAGCAUGGAGGGUGAUACUCCCGUUCAUUUCUGAGUUGCUCGUGCGUACGACCCGUUUUCUUUGAGUCGCGUUGUUUGGGAAUGCAGCGCAAAGUAGGUGGUAAAUUCCAUCUAAAGCUAAAUAUUGGUGCGAGACCGAUAGCGAACAAGUACCGUGAGGGAAAGAUGAAAAGAACUUUGAAAAGAGAGUUAAAGAGUACCUGAAACUGCUGAAAGGGAACCGAAUCGUUUCCAGUGUCUAUAAUCCGUGGUAUAUUUCAUUGGCGAGUGUGUGCGUGCGUGUGCUGUGGCAGCGGCUUUUUUGGCUGCGCUCGGCGUGUGUGCUGUGUGUGCUUGCUGGUGCUCUGUGCUGCGGUGGGACGUCAAGGUCAGUUCGUAUGCUGCGGGAAAUGGCUGCCGAGGAGGUAGGGCUUACGCUUGCGUUUGUCUGUUAUAUCUUGGUGGACGAGUAGUCGCGGUUGGGACUGAGGUGCCUACAACGUGCUUUUGAGUGGGUUUGUGUCUCCGUGUGCGCCGUGUGCGGAUAGCUUGCUAUGCGUGUGUGGUUGUGUGUGGAUUGAUGCGAGCUUUAACUUGUUGCCGUUCGGGACGUUGACGAAAUGGAGCGAUUCGACCCGUCUUGAAACACGGACCAAGGAGUCUAACAUGUGUGCAAGUGUUAGGGUGUGGAAACCCCAGCGCGAAAUGAAAGUGAAGGGCAGCGUAAGUUGUCUGAGGUAGGAAAUGCUGCGGGCUUCGGUUUGCGGUGUGGCACUAUCGACCGAUCAUGAACCUUCGUGGUGAAAGAUUUGAGUUUGAGCACAUAUGUUGGUACCCGAAAGAUGGUGAACUAUGCCUGAGUAGGGUGAAGCCAGGGGAAACUCUGGUGGAAGCUCGUAGCGAUUCUGACGUGCAAAUCGAUCGUCAAACUUGGGUAUAGGGGCGAAAGACUAAUCGAACCAUCUAGUAGCUGGUUCCCUCCGAAAUUUCCCUCAGGAUAGCAGCAACUUAUUUACGAUAGUUUUAUGAGGUAAAGCGAAUGAUUAGAGGAUUCGGGGAAGAAACUUCCUCGACCUAUUCUCAAACUUUAAAUCUGUAAGACCUGCAGGUUUCUUAAUUGAACUUGUGGAUGUGAAUAUCAA
rnacentral:rRNA from 1 species